rnacentral:lncRNA from 1 species
UAUCACGGUAAUAGACAUUUAGCUAAGACAGUUGUGAAGCGAGCGCUCUGAAUUGCCAAGCCAUCUCUCCAGACCCAUAAAUUAUCUUGUAGGAAGGUCCAGUGAAGGGUAUAAUGAGGCCCUGGCCUUCUACAAACCAAGGAAAUCAUGAUCACCAGAAAGACAUCCUGCAUGGAACUUGAUCAUGGUGGCUCGGCUCCUGGAUGGUGAGCAAACAAGCUUCUGUUUAAAGCAUCAAGUCUGACAUUAUGUUAAGGAAACCCAAGCAACUGAGUCACACUAUCUGGUUGAUAUGAUCACCAAGUCCUUUACAGGUCAGAAAACUGAGGCUCAGAGAUGGCGUAACUGACUGGUGAGCUGCUUCCAGCCAACGUUUCCCUGAGCCUGUAUUUUACUGGGGAGUACAAAGCUCUGAAGUAUCCUCACUUAUUGCAGGCAGCUUUCAGGCUCUGAGCAGUCCAUGCAUCCUCCAACCUAUGGAUGACCAGAAGCUGAGAAAGCACUCCUAGCUUUAUGUUGGGAUUGGGAGAGAGCAAGACUUUAGCCCAGGAAUAAAGCUUCCUCAGAGAGCAGCCCAGUGAUACAAGGUCAGCCACCUGGACAAAAAGAACCCAAACCAUAUAUGGGUUGUUCCUUUUAUGCUUGUGGCAGCAAUAAAUUCUUUAUAGUGUAAGUAGUUCCAUUUGAUGCAUAUUUUACCAUGCCUCAUGCCUGACAUAAGGAAAACGUCUCGUUACAUAAUAAAUUUUUUAAUAUUAAUAAAAACAUAAGAGGCAUUUCUAAAACAUUUCUCAGUUUACCUCUCCUUGGUAAUGCCAACCUCUCUCCUGCUACUCACCCACUGUUUCUGCCAUGGGGCAAAUGACACCUCUGCAAAGAGUAGGAAGAAAUGAUGCAUGAGACAACUCUGAUAUAAAGGCUGGGAAGGCCCAAUGUUUCUGUCUCAGUGAAGAGGGAGGCACAGAGGCAUGCAUACUCUGUCCUUUUAUGCCCCUU